rnacentral:rRNA from 1 species
UACGAAGGGGGCUAGCGUUGCUCGGAAUGACUGGGCGUAAAGGGCGCGUAGGCGGUUUGUACAGUCAGGUGUGAAAUUCCCGGGCUCAACCUGGGGGCGGCACUUGAGACGUAGGAACUGGAGUGAGGAAGAGGGUCGUGGAAUUCCCAGUGUAGAGGUGAAAUGCGCAGAUAUCAGGAGGAACACCAAUGGCGAAGGCAGCUCGCUGGAACGGUACUGACGCUGAUGCACGAAAGCCAGGGGAGCAAACGGG